rnacentral:rRNA from 1 species
CCGAAGCUACGGAUUUGCAAGUAAUUGCAAGUGGUAGGGGAGCGUCGUAAUCGGACUGAAGUCGUACCGGAAGGAGCGGUGGACUGAUUACGAGUGAGAAUGUUGGCAUUAGUAGCGAGAUGUAGGUGAGAAUCCUACAGGCCGAAUAUCUAAGGUUUCCUCAGGAAGGCUCGUCCGCUGAGGGUUAGUCGGGACCUAAGCCGAGGCCGAAAGGCGUAGGCGAUGGACAAUCGGUUGAUAUUCCGAUACCACUACCAUCGUUAUUAUCGAGGGUGUGACGGAGAAGGAUAGUGUGUGCUAGCGAUUGGAAAUGCUAGUCUAAGCGUUUAGGGAGUUACAGUAGGCAAAUCCGCUGUAACAAUUCUGAGGCGUGAUGGGGAAGGUCAUUAAGACCGAAGUACAUGAUUCCAUACUUCCAAGAAAAGCAUCUAGAGAGAGAAGUAGUGCCCGUACCGCAAACCGACACAGGUAGAUGAGGAGAGAAUCCUAAGGCCGGCGGAAGAAUUGCAGUUAAGGAACUAGGCAAAUUGACCCCGUAAGUUCGCGAGAAGGGGUGCCUGUGAGAGCAGGCCGCAGAGAAUAGGCCCAAGCAACUGUUUAGCAAAAACACAGGUCUCUGCUAAAGCGUAAGCUGAUGUAUAGGGGCUGACGCCUGCCCGGUGCUGGAAGGUUAAGGGGAACACUUAGCGCAAGCGAAGGUGUGAACUUAAGCCCCAGUAAACGGCGGCCGUAACGAUAACGGUCCUAAGGUAGCGAAAUUCCUUGUCAGGUAAGUUCUGACCCGCACGAAUGGCGUAAUGACUUGGGCACUGUCUCAACUGCAAAUCCGGCGAAGUUGUAGUGCGAGUGAAGAUGCUCGCUACCCGCGAUUGGACGGAAAGACCCCGUAGAGCUUUACUGUAGCUUAGCAUUGAAUUCCGGUAUUGUCUGUACAGGAUAGGUGGGAGACUGGGAAACUAGGGCGUCAGCCUUAGUGGAGUCAACCUUGGGAUACCACCCUGACAGUACUGGGGUUCUAACAGGACGCCAUGAAACUGGUGACUGGACAUUGUUAGGUGGGCAGUUUGACUGGGGCGGUCGCCUCCUAAAAAGUAACGGAGGCGCCCAAAGGUUCCCUCAGAACGGUCGGAAAUCGUUCGUAGAGUGCAAAGGCAGAAGGGAGCCUGACUGCGAGACCCACAAGUCGAGCAGGGACGAAAGUCGGGCUUAGUGAUCCGGUGGUACCUCGUGGGAGGGCCAUCGCUCAACGGAUAAAAGCUACCUCGGGGAUAACAGGCUGAUCUCCCCCAAGAGUCCACAUCGACGGGGAGGUUUGGCACCUCGAUGUCGGCUCGUCGCAUCCUGGGGCUGUAGUAGGUCCCAAGGGUUGGGCUGUUCGCCCAUUAAAGCGGCACGCGAGCUGGGUUCAGAACGUCGUGAGACAGUUCGGUCCCUAUCCGUCGCGGGCGUAGGAAAUUUGAGAGGAGCUGUCCUUAGUACGAGAGGACCGGGAUGGACUGACCUCUGGUGCACCAGUUGUUCUGCCAAGAGCAUAGCUGGGUAGCUAAGUCGGGAAGGGAUAAACGCUGAAAGCAUCUAAGCGUGAAGCCCCCCUCAAGAUGAGAUUUCCCAUAGCAUAAGCUAGUAAGACCCCUUGAAGAACACAAGGUUGAUAGGUCAGAGGUGGAAGUGCGGUAACGUAUGUAGCUGACUGAUACUAAUAGGUCGGGGGCUUGACCU